rnacentral:misc_RNA from 1 species
CUCUCGCGUAUGAUAAAAGAAGCAACAAAACGAGAAAGGAAAGCCAAUGACCCAAAAGAGACCAAAAACUAAUACUUCCAAUAGAGGAGAUUGUUAAUACAGUACAAACGUUACUUCUCUCUCUCUCUCUCUCCCUCCCUCAAUCUUCCUUUUCACUCAGAUUCAAUCAAAUGAUUACUUGCUGAUGGCGAAUAAGCCCACAUAGACCAUGUUGAG